UACGUAGGUGGCAAGCGUUGUCCGGAUUUAUUGGGUUUAAAGGGUGCGUAGGUGGCCCUGUAAGUCAGUGGUGAAAUAUCUCAGCUUAACUGAGAGGGUGCCAUUGAUACUGCAGGGCUUGAGUACAGAUGAGGUAGGCGGAAUUGACGGUGUAGCGGUGAAAUGCAUAGAUAUCAAGAGGAACACCUGAGGUGAAGACGGGUUGCUGGGCCAACACUGACGCUGAGGCGCGAAAGCCAGGGGAGCAAACGGG
rnacentral:rRNA from 1 species